rnacentral:rRNA from 1 species
GACGAACGCUGGCGGCGUGCCUAAUACAUGCAAGUAGAACGCUGAAGAGAGGAGCUUGCUCUUCUUGGAUGAGUUGCGAACGGGUGAGUAACGCGUAGGUAACCUGCCUUGUAGCGGGGGAUAACUAUUGGAAACGAUAGCUAAUACCGCAUAACAAUGGAUGACACAUGUCAUUUAUUUGAAAGGGGCAAUUGCUCCACUACAAGAUGGACCUGCGUUGUAUUAGCUAGUAGGUGAGGUAACGGCUCACCUAGGCGACGAUACAUAGCCGACCUGAGAGGGUGAUCGGCCACACUGGGACUGAGACACGGCCCAGACGCCUACGGGAGGCAGCAGUAGGGAAUCUUCGGCAAUGGGGGCAAACCUGACCGAGCAACGCCGAGUGAGUGAAGAAGGUUUUCGGAUCGUAAAGCUCUGUUGUAAGUCAAGAACGAGUGUGAGAGUGGAAAGUUCACACUGUGACGGUAGCUUACCAGAAAGGGACGGCUAACUACGUG